AGAGGUUGCAAGUUCACGGCCAUAGCAGAAGCACUCAUGGCGUGGCCCUGUCAGAUUUGAACAAAUCAGUGAAUUCUGCU
rnacentral:ribozyme from 1 species